rnacentral:misc_RNA from 1 species
AACCUUAUGGACCUGCGGGCGUAUACCUGCGGAAGGAUCAUUAACCUUUCAAAAAACAGGGUGCGUCGCGGCCCCCCUCCGGGGGCGGUUUGGGGUCCUCCCCUUCACGCGCGCACGACUGCAUCCUUACUUUACGAGCACCUUCUGUUCUCCCUCGGCGGGGCAACCUGCCGUUGGAACCGAAUAAACCCUUUUUUGCAUCCAGCAUUACCCGUUCCGUAACAAACAAUCGUUACAACU